rnacentral:rRNA from 1 species
UACGAAGGGUGCAAACGUUGCUCGGAAUUAUUGGGCGUAAAGCGCACGUAGGCGGCUUGGCAAGUCGGAUGUGAAAUCCCUCGGCUCAACCAAGGAAGUGCAUCCGAAACUGCUGAGCUUGAGUACUAAAGAGGGUCGCGGAAUUCCCGGUGUAGAGGUGAAAUUCGUAGAUAUCGGGAGGAACACCGGUGGCGAAGGCGGCGACCUGGGUAGAUACUGACGCUGAGGCGCGAAAGCGUGGGGAGCAAACAGG